rnacentral:rRNA from 1 species
UACGGAGGGUGCGAGCGUUGUCCGGAAUCACUGGGCGUAAAGGGCGCGUAGGCGGCCUGAUAAGUAGGGGGUGAAAUCCUGCGGCUUAACCGCAGGGCUGCCUUCUAAACUGUCAGGCUUGAGCACAGUAGAGGCAGGUGGAAUUCCCGGUGUAGCGGUGGAAUGCGUAGAGAUCGGGAAGAACAUCAGUGGCGAAGGCGCCUGC